UAUUCCUGGUGUGUGGCAUACUUACCUCUCCUGUGGCAACCAGUAACCUGCCUCCAUCCUCCUGAAACCCUCCUGCCUUCACAGACUGAUGAGACUUUCCUGCCCACCAGGGAGAUGCUGGAUCUGGCUCCACCUCCUUCCCAGGGAUGAAGUCCAUCAGAUGCUAUAGACUCUGGCUCAGAGUGAUGACAUGCCCUUGGAAACCUCUCAUCACCCUCUAGCAUGACAGCCAGGUUUUUACAUCCACAUGCAUUCCUGCUCUGGACCACGUCAGUCUCUGCUCCAGGAUCUUGUCCCUGGGGUAGGCAGAGGCUUUGCUGAGCCCAUGGACUCCUGGUUAUCUGCAGCAUGAGGGUGCUCCCAAGCCAGGUUCAUCGAGACAGACUGAGCUGGGUCCUGCCUCCAAAACAAGCCCACCUUGCUCCCUUUGAGCCAUCACCACGCAGCAGCUGCUGAUUUGUCAUUUGCCUUCUCAAAACUAUCUCCUGAUAUGGAAACAGUUCAUCAUUGCCUGUAACCAGCAGGAACACCAGCAGGAACACCAGGUCCUGCCAGCAUCUCUUUUGAGCAUCAAGCAUAAAAAAAGGAGUAGAAGCUCACCAAAAAUGUCUUUGGGUGGAAAUAGGAAAGGACUGCAAGGAGGUGAUGGACCCUCUCCAUCCUCACUGGCUCAGUUUGCAGGUGGAGAAUCCAAGAUCUGCCAGAGGGAGGAGGUCACUGGCGUUCAUCUGGAGAUGAUGUACCCUGUCAGCCUCCCAGCUGGACCUCUGCACACCAGGAGCAAGAUGGACCAAGUGCUCUGGGCUGUGCCCUCAGCCUAGUGUCUCCUCCAAAGUCCUAGGCCACUUUGUUGACAACAGAAAACCUGAUUCCCUCUGGCAGUUGGUCCUUCCUGGGAAGUACACCCUCACACCCCACCAGCUGCAUCAGCUUUUUGAGCCCCUUUGUCUGCUGACAAAAAGCCUGCAGAGAAAUCAAUGUCUCUGGAGUGUGUUCACUGCUGGAAAGAGCUGCUCAGGGAUUUCACUCUCCCUCUGUGGCCGACUGUGGAGACAACCAGAGGUCAGGCCAUGCUGGGGAGACAACGUGCUGCUGGAUGCACACUGCCACUCCUCAUGUGGCUCCUGUUGUCCUGGUGGGCAACUCACAAUCCCUGAGGUGGGGGGGACUGAAGCUUUCUUGUCUGUGGGGUGCUCUUGCUGGGUUUUCCCACACCCAGGGAAAGGCAGGGAGCUGGAGAGGAGAAGCCAAAGGUGAGACUGUUGUAAGCAGCUUCAGUCAGGGCUGUGCAGAACAUGACCUUCACUAAAAAGUCAGUAUUUGCCAGCAAAUAACAUAUGGUUUUCUUUUUGUUUAAUUGCCUCAGUCUCCUUAACUGCAUUUUAGAUCAGAGACCCCAAGAUCCUCAGCACAGGAGAAAGAGCUACAGAGAGAGAAUGAAGCAAGGCAGGUCCCAGAGCACUCACUGGUUGUGCUGCCUGGUGUGCCACAGCAGUGUCAGCUGCCUCAGAGCAGCACCUCAACUACUUCUCCUGCCCUCUGACGACUUUUGUGAAAAUGACCCAGAAACAAAGGGCCCAGCCUGCUCCUGGAGGAGGCAAAGGCUGUUGGUGUUGCUUGACUGAAGGGGCUGAGGGACAGUGCCUGACUGUCUGCAUUCACAUCCUGGGAAAGCAGUUGGAGAUUGAUCCUGGUUUGGUCACCCACUGAUGAGCUAAUUUUCAACACCAACCAUGUGAGUAUAAAAAGGAUUAACCCUAAGUUUAAGAGCUUUAAUCACAUAAAAAAAACAUGGUCAAAGUGUUUGUGUAAGGAGAUGUUUCAAAUGCCCUUUUGUGAACGCAGAGGUUCAUCUUAUUUGGAGAGCUAGAAGCAAGAAUAUAGAAACAGUCUUCUGCAAUGCAACACUGCUGCUUGUUUCACAGUUUUGCUUAAUUCGUUUCUAUGAACAGGCUCUUAAUUCAGUUUAGCUCAGUCUCUUUUCUCUCCCUGCUCCCCCUGUGCAAUGCAAUUCCAUUUGUGUCUAGGUUACUGGCAACCAGUGUAUCAAGCUCUAGCCAAGUAUGUAUUAAAAUAAAGCUGCAAUCUGCUGAAAAACAGGUUUUAAGAUGGAAACAAAUAAUUAGAAACACACAAAUUAGUGUCUGUCUGACAACAGGUUGAGCUCUGCACGGAUUUAAACAAAGCUGUAAUGGCAGGAUAUGAGCGAUUCAAACUGGAGGCAGCGGCUGAGUGUUGAUUUUAACGGGUCAGCUGGAAAAGAUGUGGGGAAGGAGCAAACCUGGUUGGUUUUGGCUGGGGCUGAGCACCCAGAAUAGUGAGAUAAAAGAGAAACACGUGGGGGCUUUGUGUAACUCAGGGCCUUUUAAGGACGGGGGCCUCGAUGAAGCAGGAGCUUAGGCUGAUGGCAGGGUGAAGCUGCUGCUGCUGCCUGGUGAUGCCCCUCUGCGGGUGCGUGCCGCGGUGCGUGUUUGCCGGGCAGAGGCGACGCACCAGUGGCAAAGGUGUGGAAGCAUUUUCUGUGGUUUUGUACCUUUGCUGUGGGUGUUUUUGUGCCUGCAGAGUCCAGCGGUCUGGCAAUGCCCCGGGGCAAGGCAGAGAGCCCUGCCCGUGCCCCUCGGCCGGGCCAUGGACAGCAGGGCCUCUGGGGAGCUUUCCAGCAGCUGCUGAGAGCAGUUCAAAUACUCUUUUUCUCUCAUUCACACGAACAUCUCACCGCUGGAGUUGCGGUGUGCCCUGUCCUCAGCCAGCGUGUGAGCGAGCAAAUCACUCCAGCAGCAUGGAUCGUUCUUCUGCGCCCAUUGUUAUGGAAAUCGCCUUAGAGACUGUUGCUUCAGCAAACAUUUUUAGAAGCACGAGUGAGUUGCGCAACAGGAAAGCUACCCGGAGGACCAGCUCUCCAGCCUGUGCCCUUCGAGCAGCCUCAGCUGAUGGAAGGGAAAAGCACGGAGCCAGUGACCUUUGUUUGCAUAACUGCUGCCCACAGUCCCUGCCUGACAUUUGAGGAGUGCUCUUUAAAAAAAAGUACCAUUCCUGGCACACUGGCCCCGCUGCUGAAGAGCUGUUCCUCUUCCACCUCCUUCACCUGCUCAGAUUAAAAGCUACAGACAGGAAAAAGUGAUUCAGUCCCAGAAAUUCAGCACUGCAAGAGGAUGUUAACAUCACACCAGCCCACCUGCCUGGUUCCUUAGCACCCAAACGCUUGCAAAGGUGAUGGGAGGUAUCAGCCCCAUUCUACAGAUGGGAAGAGUGCAGUACAGAAAACUGUGAUUUCACUCAACAUCACAGAGCAAAACAGAAGCUGGCCUGGGGGCCCAGGUUACCUGAGCAAAUUCCCAGCUGAAAUCCUGCUCACAAAACACUGCUUUGAGCUGCCAGUCCAGGAAGGUGCUUCCUCUCUUGGUACUGAUGGAUAUUUGACCACAGGCACCUGAGACAGGACUCAUGGACUUUGUUUCUAAAACACCAAAACAGCCUGUGGGCUCUGCAGCCAGAGAAUCUGGGAGAAGAGAGGUGGUGGUGAUGGAAUGAGGAACCUGAGAUGGCAUCUGCACCGGCGUCACAGGAGAUGGGGACAGAUGAAGAAAAAAGCACUCUGAAGCCAAGCCAGCAAGAUGGGGCUGUGGGCACGGGGAAGCUGCCUGGCCACUGCACUGGGCAUCAAGGAGAAGGACUGUUGGAGGAGAGAAAGCAGAAAAACAGCCAGAGAGGUGCACACAACCCAUAUUAGAAACCCGGGAUCAGAUCUGGUAGGGUGGUGUGGGGAUGAUGGCAAGCCCCAGGCUCUCCAGGGCAGUGGUCAUGGCACCAAACCUGCUGGGGUUCAAGAAGGGUUUGGACAAUGCUCUCAGGCACAUGGUGGGAUUCUUGGGAUGGUCCCGUGCAGGACAAAGCUGGGCUCAGUGAUCCCUGUGGGUCCUUUCCAACGCAGGAUAUUCUAUGAUUUUAUGAAUCCGCAUGUAGAGUGGUUAUUACUUUGUGCUGUCCUUGUCACAAGCACUUGGGGCUUUUGGGAGCCGAGCUGGAAGCUGCCCAUUUCUGGACAUGUGUUGAUCUUCUGCCUGUCAGCAAAGCCUCAUACGGGAGGAGAUGAACACCACCACCAUCCCUGAGCCCCUGCCAGCCGUGCUGGGCUGAAGGAGGGGUUGGCACACCCUGUCCUGGCCCCAGCCUGCAAGCCAUGUCUAAGGCAACCUUGUGGGGUCGAGGUGCCUUCUCCGUGGCAGGGAUUUGGGGGAAUGCCCACAGCUCUCUGCAGAGCAGGGAUUUUUUCUCUGACGGGAGGCACCCGCCUGGACGUCAGUCCCCGGAGCCUGGCAGGAGGCGCACUUUGGAGCGGCUGACUCCAGAGGGCAGCACGGAGACGGGCUGGCACCGACCGCUGCCCCUGUCCGCGCCCGUGCCCGCCCUGCCCGCCGGAUCCAGGCGCGCUCACAGGAAUGACCCCUACCCCAGGGAGCCAGGAGCAGGCAGAAGCAAGGGGAAGCUCUUGCAGUGUCCCUCAGGUCCUGGCUGGGCAGGCAGAGGAUGUCACCCUGCUGUUAAGUGACACUAUUUUGCUUUGACCCUUCUCAGGGCGAAAUUUGGUCUUGUCUCUGCAGGUGACGCGUCCGGAGCCUGUCCCGAAACUUAUGUGGUUGCUGAUGCGACCGCAGAACGGAGGUGAAACGUUUCUCUUCUGGUUUCACAGGACCACACGCUGGCGGCUACACCUGCCUCCCUCCCAGCACCAAAAAGGAUCCGUGUAAAGAUUUCUGGGGUGUUUUCAGCACAACAGCGACUUUAGACCCAGAUUUUAGUUCUUUGCACAAGCCGCUGCUGUUCCCCUUGUGUACUGAAGGUGCUUCGAUAAACAUUCUGAAAGGUCAGCUAUUUUCACUGUGCCUGUGGCUUGCAUAAGAACCUCAACAUCCUCUGCUGCAAAGAGCAGUGUUAGGAACUUCCUACUGCCACACUGAAUCACAAUAGCUUCCCACAGCAACCAGUGGUAAAAAUAAACUGGGCAAGGGGAAGUGGACAGCUUCUGCUGUUCCGCUUUCUUGGGCACACUUGAGUCACAAAAAAAGCGAUGUAGAACAAGACAUUUAUUUUGCUGAUGCCAAUGAAAUCCAUGAAUGGUUCAGAGCGCACUCCCGCUGAAAUCAUGGAGUGUUUUGCAAUGAGAUGCUCGUUGUGCUCAAAGUUAAGCAUGUGCUCAAAUGCUGUCUUAAGUCGGUAUUUUCAUUAGUAUCCAGCCUUAGGAAUUAGACUAAAAGGAGGCAGGGACCCCUGCACAUCCGAGUGCUGCUUUUGUACUAAAGACACAGGAAUGCAGCUCUCUUGGGAUAUUUUAUGUGUUGACGGUAUAAAAAAAGACCACCGAGGAGACAGUGGCUCUGUAAUGGUUUCAGUAGUAGAUCUUGGCUUUCAGAAAAGCAGAUUUUGACCAGAAGAGAAGUAUCUUCAAAUACUAAUCAAUUUGAAGUUUUGCCUAGAGACAAUGUCAUUUGAACAGCACAGUUUUCAACAACAUUACAACUAAGCCUCUGUGUGUGCACGUGUUUGUUUGCAUGUGGGGGAGUGUUUCAGGAGCAAUAUCUUUCCUGUUACACAAUUACAGCCCAGUUCUUGAAAUUCAGCCAUUUGGGAAAAAAACCUGAGGAGACCUAGUCAGGUGGCUGAGCCUGGGAAUCUGCUGGUGAAACAGACCCUGCCUCUUCCCUUCAAAACAGAGUGUGCUGACAAAGUUUAUAUUAAGAGGCUAAAGAGAUGAGAAGUUAGGGAGAAAAGAAUGGAAUUGCUCAUCUGUCCCAGACUGUGGAGAGGGAAUGGUUCCCAGUCAUACUCACAAGGAAUUAGGAGAGCAAGGGCUUGUAGGAUAACCCAUGUGAGAAGGGACCACAGAAGAGCUCCAGUCAAACCUCUGGUUGAAAGCUGGGUCAUCCCUGGGGUCAGGCCAGGUUACCUGGGGAUGUAUUGAGUUGGAGCUUGAAAAUGAGUGAGGAUGGAGAUUGCACAACCUCUCUGAGCAAUCCACCAAUGUUUGACUGCCUGCAUGGUGAAAAUAGAUUGCAGUAGAAGUGGCUCAUACGGAACCACGUUUUUAAUGUCAUCCUGCUCAUUAAAAAGAGAAAGAUCAAAUCUAUUUUGUAAUAGGAACAGUUUGUGUGAGGCAUGGAAAACUUCUGGUACCAGAGGACUGAUUCACAUGAAAGGGAAUGUAAAAGAUGGAAGAAAACCAAAGGGUGCCUCCAGUUACAUUCCUGUCUUGAAAUGUUAAUGUUGCAGCACAAAAGGUUUGUAUUUAUAGUAGUGGAUACCAUCAGGGAAGAUACUCUAAAAAUAAACAAGGAUGCACAGAUAAAAACA